rnacentral:lncRNA from 1 species
UUAAUUCAUCCCAUAUUAUAUAUAUAAUUUAAUUUCAAUGCAUUUAUGUAUCUCUAACACACACACACACUCUCUCUCUCUCUCUCUAUGCAUACAUGUUUCGAUGAUCUCAGGUCAUAACAAUAACAAGGCAUCAUCGGUAUUGAAAGUGGUGCACAAACAUGGGCCAUGCUCCAAAUUCCACAAAUCAUCAAAAACUUCAACCACAACUAGUGAUGAAAAAUACCAUGCUCAAAUCCUCGAGCAAGACCAGGCCCGAGUCAACUCAAUCCACUCCCGCCUCAACCACAACAACAACAAAGACCCACUCACCCAAUCCGCCGCCACCACCCUCCCCGCCAAGUCUGGUAUCGUUAUCGGCUCAGGGAACUACAUUGUCACCGUCAGCCUCGGUACACCAGCCAAGCAACUCUCCCUCGUCUUCGACACUGGCAGCGACCUCACCUGGACCCAAUGCCAGCCAUGUCCUACUACUCGGUCUUGUUACAAACAGACUGAGCCCAUCUUCAACCCUUCUCUCUCCGCCUCAUACAAAAAGAUCCCAUGUACCACCGCCGCGUGUACUCAGCUCCCAUCCUCCGGCCUCGAACAAAGCUGCUCCGCCUCCACCUGCCUUUACAUCGCCGUUUACGGUGACAACUCCUUCUCUAAAGGGGUAUUUGGCAGCGAAAAGCUUACAUUGACCCCUACGGACGUUUUUGAAAGUUUCCUCUUCGGCUGCGGCCUAGACAACGGAGGCCUAUUCAGAGGAUCCGCCGGUUUGCUAGGUCUCGGCCGGAGCAGCAUCUCCUUCGUCGAGCAAACCGCCAAUAAAUACAACCGGUUCUUCUCCUACUGCCUCCCGUCGACUUCCAGCUCCACCGGUCACCUCACCUUCGGUGACGGAGGCUCUCCUAACGGCGUUAAGUUCACGAAGCUCAUCACGUCAUCCCAAAGCGAGUCGUUUUACGGCCUCGGCCUCGCCGGCAUCAAAGUCGGUGGGAGCCAGCUGUCGAUUGCGCCCUCGGUCUUUUCGUCUUCUGGAACGAUCAUCGACUCGGGGACGGUGAUCACGAGGUUGCCGGCGACGGCAUACGCAGUGUUGCGGGGCGCGUUUCGGGAGGCGAUGAAGAACUACACACUGACUAAUGGCGAUUCGUUGCUGGACACGUGUUACGAUUUCAGCGGCUUGAACACGGUGUCAUAUCCGAAGAUAGCGUUUGUGUUUGGGGAUGGACUUACGGUGGACUUGGACGCGACCGGGAUAUUGUUUCCGAUAAGUCCUUCGCACGUUUGCUUGGCGUUUGCCGGAAACAAGGAUGAUAGAGACGUCGGGAUUAUUGGGAAUCUUCAACAGAAGAGGUUGGAGGUUGUGUAUGACGUGGCCGGAGGAAAAGUCGGAUUUGCCCCUGCAGGUUGCGAUUGAGUAAUGACGUCGUCCAUGGGUAUAAGUGUAAUACAAACAGCUUGCUAGCUAUAGAAUAAAGCAUUGGGUUACAUAUUUGUGUGUAAUGUUUGUCUGUUGUAAGUCGGUGUCUCCUGUUUUUCUUUUUUGGGUUCUUAUUCUUAAGGGAAAUACCCAUGUAAUUCUUAUUUUCUAGAUAUAAAUUUAACUAUUUCUAAAUAUUUAAGAUAAGUCUUAAACCCAAAUUCCAAAUAUGCUGUCAUUUAAGAUAAUAUAUAUUUGUCCUAGUAUUAUCAGUUAAAUUACAAUAUGUGCCAUUAACCUUCAUCAAUUCCUUCCUUUGUUUGCAACUAAAUUUCAUUUUAGAAUCUAAACCGAACUCUGUGCGUGUCCGACACUUGGCGGGUGCCGGGCACACUUGACUAAAUUGCGCUUCUAACGAAACCGAAGUUCAUCUCAAGUUUGACUUCUGUUGAAAAUUCGGCAGAAUCUUCCAUGUAAAUAGUCGCUACCCCAAAUUGCAUGAAGUUUACAUUCAAGCAAUCCAACAACAUAACUAUAUGGCCUUAGGCUUUACAGAAAUCCUAGGGCAAUUUCAGAGCAAUACUAAUCAGUUUAAUUUACAGGAAUAGUUCAAUUAUAAAAGAAAUCCUACAUAGCGGAAAAGAUGAGUGAAGAGUGGUGACUACCCUGUGGUGGCGCUCUGGUACACGACUACUGCCUUAGGGUGCAAAACAUUUAAAAGUGUGAGUGGACAAAAAUAAACUUUUGGAAAAUAGAAUAUUAACAUACUAACCCCACUGUUAAAACAUUAUGUUCUAUAUUCGUACAAGAAUAAAGACAUACAUAUAACUAAUCACGCAUUCAAAUUCUCAAAACCUUUUGAAGGCACUGUAAAGAAAUAAUAUAUUUCUCACUUAGGUGUACCCAUCAUAUAUCCGUCAAUUCCAUGGUCUUUUACUUAUUUCCCAUAUUAUACCCUCAAUUCCUUGUGUCACAUAAUGCGACACAUCCUCGCAAGUCUCGGAAACACAAAGUCACCGGAGCCGCAUUCCUCGCAAGACUCAGGGGACAUUAAGUCAACCUGAGCCGCAUUCCUCGCACCACACGGUUCGGGCAUCCUCGAAACUAGUGGGGCAUUGUCAAACGCGCACUGACUCAACCGAACGCAACUAGAAUGUCCGUGGACAUUAUUAUAACCGUAGGCAACAAUUUUAUCCGAAGGCAACAUAUUAUUCGAAGGCAACAUAUUAUCUGAAUGCAACAUUUUAUCCGAAGGCAACAUCUUGGGUACCUAUGGUGGUUUAAAAAUAUUUCUUAGAAAAAUUAUACUUUUAUUUCUCAAUAAAUCCUUCAAUCAUAUUAUCACUUCCUUUCCUACUUUCCAAGCCUUUUAAACAUGAACAAAAUUUAAUAAAGAUAUUUGAAUUCAAAUAUUUAUGCUUGGAAAGUAAUAGUCAUAAAUAAUUCAUUCAAAAUCAAUCAAUGAAACUUUAAUUGCAUAAAAUUCAUUUACAAAACAAAAGUUCACUCACUGAGCAUCCGAGCUAGCCUGACUCUUUGAGGGUCUUUCCUGCACGUUCAACGAAAUCUGAGUACCUAUUUAAGCAAUUAAAACAUUUUAUUAAUAAAAUAGCUCAACCACAAUUACUUAUUCAACACCCUGACCCCCGGCCUCAUAAGUGCGUGUACGUGACUUACAAAGGUUACUAGGCCCAUUUUCAACAUUUCUGACAGGUGGAAUGGUCUGAAAAGACCCGAGUUUAAAAAAGCGAUUAAAUUUCCAUAUUGGUAAAUCCGGUACCCCGUCGGGUCCACGACCGCCGAUUACCCAUCUAAGAGUUCCUAUAGGUUCAACACACUUUACUAAACAUGCCCUGCAAGUUUGGUCCGAAUCGAACGAUCGGAUUACUCACGAUCGCACGAUUAUCGUUUAACUUAAACUUUGAAAUAUUGAAUCAGAGUAUCCGAAACUCCGAUUCUCGAUCCGCGAAUUUCUACAUGAUCCCAGAAGCGCCUAAAUCAACCUAAUUGAAAAUGAAGUAGAUCCAACGGUCCCAACAUAUCAAACCAGGAUAACGCCUAAUAUACGAUAUCUGAUCGACGAUCAAACAAUAACCAAAUUGAAAUUCGAGUAUACCGUCGCGCUCAGGACGACGUGGGGAUCAUUCUGGGACAAAAAUCCAACAUUGACACCCCGCCGACGCGCCGCCACCACUGGCAGGUAUAUUGAGUAAUUUUUCGGCGAUCGAAAAACUCCGAACUGCCAGUCAAUAAUCAUACCUACGGAUUAAGCACAUCAAGAGGAGUAAAUAUCAUGAAUCCAAUUGACAUUGGAACAAAGUUGCAAGGUUUGGAAAUGAAUGUAGAUGAAGAUAUGAUGGUUCAUAUUGCUUAGAAUUCACUAUCUAAGGAGUUUAAGUCUCUCAGAGAUACCUACAUUUCUCAAAAGGAAAGCUGGACACGGGAUGAUCUUAUCACCAUAUGUGUUGAACAGUAACACAAUAUAAUAAGAGAAAGAGAUGAAAAAAUGGUGAAUCAGAUGCAGUCAAAGCAAAAUAAGGAAUAUAGGAACAAAGCCAUUGCAGCUGGAAAAGAGAAAGAAAAUGAAAAGGAUAAUAACAGUCCAAAUGCUCUGAAACCAGUGGGAUUGAAAUGCUUCUUCUAUAAGAAAACUGGACAUAUGAAAAAGGAAUACAUAAGGUAUAAGAAAUGGUUGGACAAACAGAAAACUAAAGGUAAAAGUGAUCAAGUUUUGGUUUGCUUUGAAUCUAAUUUAGUUGAUUUUAUUGAUGAUUCAUGGUGGUUAGACAGUGGUGCAUCUAUUCAUGUGACUAAUUCUUUGCAAGGGUUCAUAAAGAGGAGGCUGCCAAGCAAGGAUGAAGUGAAGGUGUUCGUAGGAAAUGGUAGGGGUGGCAUUUUAAACCGAAAAACCGAAAAACCGCAAAAAUCAACCGAUAUUUUACCGCAAUAAAACCGCAAUCGCGGUAAACCGAACCGCAAUCGCGGUAUUAAGAACCGAACCGCAUUUACGGUUGCGGUUGCGGUAUUUGAUUUUCAAAAUUUGCAGUUACCGCAAACCGCAAAGUAUAGCCGCACGGCUAUACUCUAUGAAUAAUUAAGUAAAAUUGUAAACCCUUCUCUUCUCUUGAAUUGGUGGAAAGGGAACCAAACAAGAUAUCCUAUUCUUUCACAAGUUGCCAAGGAUAUCUUUGCAAUUCCAAGUUCUACGGUUGCUAGUGAAAAUGCUUUUAGCCUAGGCAAGAGGAUUGUGGAUCCUUUUAGAAGCUCUUUGCAUCCUAAAAUGGUAGAGGCAUUAGUGUGUACUAGUGAUUGGCUUAGAGCGGACGAAUUUUCCUUUUACAAGGAACCAACAGAUGAUGAGGUUGAAUUCUACAAGGAAAUGGAAGAUAUGACAACUUGUAAGUAAUUAGUUUAUUUAUGCUAAUGUUAUUUAUGCUUCUUCUUAUAAUAAAAUGUACUAAACUAUGUUGUUUUAUUUGUAGAUAGCAUUGGUGCUCAAACAAUACAAAGGGGUUCUUCAAAUCCACUCACCACCAACACUUGAGUUUGUAACAUUGGUGUAUUGCAUUUUUCCUUUUAGUUUGUAACUUUAAUUAACUGUGAAUUGGAUUUUUCUUUUUGAUUGUAACUUUAAUUCAUUUUGCUUUUGGUUUGUAAAUUUAAAGGAUUUGGAAUUGGAAUGCUUGAGAAGUUUAACUUUAAUUGGAAUGUUUGGAAUUGUAACUUUAAUUUUCUUAGGUUGUGAAUGCUUGAGAAUUGGAAUCGAUUGUGAAUUUAUAUAUGCUUGAGAAAUUGAGGUUGUAUAUUUAUUUAUUUAGGUUGUAAAUUUAUAUUUUUGUGAAUGCUUGAGAAUUUGCGGUUUUAAACCGCAAAUUCUCGGUAACCGACCGCAUUUUUGCGAUUUACCGCAAUGCGGUAAACCGCAAAACGCGGUCGGUUUGCGGUUUCAAAAAUCACCAAACCGCAAAUAGUCGGUCGGUUUGCGGUUUGAAUAAAAAUUCGCGGUUACCGAACCGCAACCACCCCUAGGAAAUGGAGAAAAGUGCAAGUAGAUAAUAUUGGAGUAGUUAGGAUUGAACUAGAUUCUUGUUUUGUUUUUUAUUUAGAAGAUGUGGUUUAUGUUCCUUCAAUGAGCAAGAAUCUCAUCUCAGUUACUAGGCUUGUAAAGUCAAAGUUCACUUUGAACUUUGAUGAUUUUGGUUGUUCUAUUUUUAGAAAUAAAAGCUUAAUUGGAAAAGCAAGUAUUGUGGAUGGUAUGUUUCGAUUAAACUGCAAAAAAACUAUGCAAAUCAACUUAGUUCAAUCCAAACCAUGCAAAGAAUUAUAUUUUAAAUUGUGGCAUAAGAGACUUAGACGUAUUUCAAAGGCAAGAAUCAAUACUUUAUGCAAAGAAUUAGUUGUACCACCAUUGAAUCAUGAUAAUGCAGAUGAUAUAUGCCUAGAAUGUACAAAGGGAAAAUUGACCAACCUAAGAAAGAACGGUGUUGUAAGAAGUCAAAGUGUAUUAGAAUUAAUCCAUACAGACAUAUGUGGACCAUUCCCAACUCCAUCAUGAAAGGUUUAACUACUUCAUCACUUCUACAGAUGACUAGUCGAGAUUUGGACAUGUUUUUUUAAUCAAAGAAAAAUCCAGUGCUUUGGACAUGUUCAAAAUUUAUAAAGCUGGAGUGGCACUACUACAAAAAAGCAAAAAGACGACGGUAAAUCACCGUCGUGUAUUCGGUUUUUCAAUGGUCGUGGAAUCCACCAUCAUCUUUUCCCUCAUAAACCACGACGCUAAAUCACCGUCGUUGUUAAAAUAUACAACGUCAUCAACAAAUACAAAACGACGUCUUUGUACUGCAAAAAGAUCUAAAAAAGCAGUCGAGGAUGAGAAUAGACGACCAACUCUCUAAAAAAACCGUCGUUAAAAAGGAAAAAUAUGACACAUAUUAAGAGAACAAGGCCGCAAGAUAGACAUACAACGACGAAAAUAAAAAUACGACGCCGUUAAAUAUCAUUUUCACGACAAUAAAAAAUUUGACAUCUUUAAAUACAUUAGAAGACGACGUUAUUGAUACCUACUACGUCGCAUAUAUAAAAACAGUCGUCGUAAAAUUAAUUUUCCACUUCGAUUUUUCGAUAAAAGAUGACGUGGAAAUAGUUGUCAGUGUCAUUAUUUACGACGUAUGUAUUUAUAGAGUAGACGUUGAAAAACGAAACAACGUCGGUUACAAAUAUAUGAGAGUCGUAUUACAAAAUUUAUACGUCAUAUUUUCAGAAACAAACAACGACGAUAAAUAUUAGACGUUGUUAAAUAAAACAACGUCGGAAAACAAUAAAAACAGACGUGUUUAGUCUGCUAAAGUUCUAGAAAAUAGUCGAGGAUGAGAAUAGACGACCAACUCAAACAAAUCACCGUCGUUAAAAAAGAAAAAUAUGACACAUGUUAAAAGAACAAGGCCGCAAGAUAUACAUACAACGACGACAACUAAAAUACUACGCCGUUAAAUAUAAUUUACACGACAAGAAAAAAUAUGACGUCUUUAAAUACAUGAGAAGACGACGUUAUUGAAAUAUACUACGUCUCUUAUUUACAAACAACCGUCGUGAAAUAAAUUUUUCACUUCGAUUUUUCUAAAAAAGAUGACGUGGAAAUAGUUGUCAGUGUCAUUAUUUACGACGUAUGUAUUUAUACAGUUGACGUUGAAAUGCGAAACAACGUCGGUGGCAUUUAUAUAGUCGACGUUGUAUUUAUAUCUAUCAUCAUUACUCACGACACACUUAAUAAUAUAGACGACGUUGAACUUCUAAACAACGUCGGUUCCAAAUAAAUGAGAGCCGUAUUACAGAACAUAUAGACGGCGUUGAUUAUGAUGAGAGCCGUAUUACAAAUAACGUCGUUUAAUUGUUAUUAGACGGCGGUUAUAAUGAAUUUCCGUCGGAAUUCAUUUCGUUCCUCUUCGUUUAUAAAAGAACUUGCGACGUGAAAAAUGUAUGAUGACGUCGUAUUUUUUAACGUUCAGAUUAUAUAUCUCGUUUUUUAGACGUCGGUAUUAUGGGAUUGGAGUCGUGUUAUUUUGAAUUACAUGGCGGUUCUUAAUCCUUCCCCGACGUGAUAUCCUGAAUAAUUGCUUCACAAUAGCGUCGUGGUUCUUCAUUGUUACGUUGCUUUAAGACGUCGGUAAAUAUGCUGAAUAACUGGUUCACAAUAACGUCGUGUUUUAUUUGAACGUAGAAAGUGAAGAAAUCACAUUACAAUAUAUUAUAAAAUUAAUGUCAUACACUGCCAAUUACAUAAGCAUCAUUCAAUCCAUAUAUCUUCACACCCAUCUCGAAUAUUUUGACCGCCUAACUCACCCACCAGUUCAUCAAAUGUGUCAACAUUUGGCAUCCCUCUAGUAAAUGGCUCACACUCAAUUAUCACAUCACCUAAGACUUCAUCACCAAUAACAUCAUUAUAUUCUCUAUUAGGCAUUGAUAACACUACUGACCAACCACGAUGCAUCGGGUCGUCAACAAAAAAUAUUUGUUUGACUUGAGAAGCCAAAACAAAUUGGUCAUUCCUAUGUCCAAUUUUACUCAAAUCUACAAGGGUAAAUCCAAGUUCGUCGACUACAAGACCAGAACUAUCUAUCCAAUCACACCUAAAGACUGGGAUUGUAAACUUUUGGUAGUCAAGGUCCCAAAUUUCUUGAAUGACACCAUAGAAACCCAUAUUUGAGAGAAUUGGGUUUUUAUCCUUGGCACUAACACAUGGACAACGGAUAUGUAUUGUAGUUAGAAGAUUUUCUACAGCAAAGUUCAAAAAUGCUUCCACCCCAAAUUCAUAUGCCUUCGAUCUUCUAUCCGAGUGCAUCCAUGACUUAUCCAUCUCCGACACUAUAACCUAUUAUCUAUAAUAAAGUGAAAAUACAGGCAAUGACCAUCACUAUAGCAGAUUAUACAAUGAUCUAAUCGCAAGUAAUACACAACAGAGACGACGGGUUUUAAACAAAAACAGACGUAUUUGGCAUAUAUAGACGACGGAUUUUCAACAGACGUCGUCUAUUAUAAGUAAUACAAACGACGGUUUAUGAAAAAACCGUCGUGUAUAAGUAAUACAACGACGGUAGUUUAAAAAAACCGUCGUGUAAUCGUCGUCGUAUGCCUUAAAAUUUGUCGUGUCUCAGUUUAUUUUCAAGAACACAAAACCCAUUAAGAACACAACAUAUAUAUGAAACCAAGCAAGAAACCAACAUAUACAUGAAACCAAGCAUGAAAACAAUAAAUCCAUUCCCAAUUCAACAUAACAUAGGGUGAUUAAAAGAUACGACAAAAUUAAAUCCAUUCCCAAUUCAACAUAACAGAUAAUGUAAUCCAUGAACCCAUUAAACAGAAAAUCCAUGAACCCAUACCUAUAAGCACAUUAUUAACAGAUCGCAAAGCAUACACAUAAAACCCUUUAACAAAACAACCUAAUAUCACUCGAAUCGUUACUAGAAUCAUCACUCGAAUCCCCAUCUUCAUUAUCAGUUUCUUCCUUCGUAGGUACUAUUUGCUCCCCAUCAUUGGUGCACUUUGCACCUUCUCCAGAGCGGAAAAUGACAAGAUCAAAUAAAGGUGUACUUUUGCUGGAAAUCAACAUAAAAAGACACAGAUCACCAACUUCCAAAUGAUUGUCACGCACAACGUCCAUCCAACUACGCCUGAAUAAGAGCCAAAUCUAAAAAAAUUUAGGUCGCGCGAAAAUUUUUAGAGCUCGCGCGUUUUAAAACGUCGAAAGAAAAACCAAGGCGAAAGUUCUACAAGUACCGACGUAAAUUUAAUAUUCCACGACGGAAACUUCAUUUUUCGGAUUAAGAACGUAAGGCCGUUCAUUUUGAAGCUUCAUUUUUCGGAUUAAUUUUAAAUUUAUUUUGAAUUUUUUAUAUAACGACGACUGAAAAACCACGUCGGUGUUAAGAAAUUAAAGACGUUGUAAAUUAUAUAAACCGACUUACAUAUUAAAAUGACGUCGUUUAAAGCGUAAACCAUGUCGUAUGUUUUUCUGUACGACGUAAAAUAUGUAUUCCACGACGCAACCACCGUCGUUAAAAAUUAAUACCCUAAACCCAUAAAACUAAAUUAUACAAUUUAAAAAAUUAAGUUUAUAAAAGGUUUUAUGGUUUUAAAGCCUAACAUAUACCCUAGACUACCCAAAAAUUAUACUUUAAAAAUAAACCCCAAUAAAUAACAACCCUAAUCUCUAAACCCUAGACUCUAAACCCUAAACCAUAAAACUAGAAGUGAUUUUAUGACUCAUAAAAACAAUUUUGUUUUGGAUGGUCAUUUUAAAUUUUUGUUAUUCAAAAUGAAUUUUUUCAAGGUUUAUGUGGAAGAAAAUAUAUCAAUGACUUCAUAGGAGUUGACUUUUCAAUUUUCUGAUUUAUUUUAAAUUUAUUUUGAAUAUUUUGAUAUAAAAAUAAUAAAAUAUUCUUACCACAACAAUAAACCACGUCGGUGUUAAUAAAUUGUAGACGUUGUAAAUUGUAAUAGACUACUAAGUCGUUAAAAUGACGUCGUUAAAAUGAGAAACCAUGGCGGCUAUUUAACUAUACGACGUAAAAUAUAUAUUCCACGACUUAACCGCUGUCGUUACAUAAACGUCGUCGAUGAUACCCUGAACCCUUAAGAAAUUGAAGAUGUUGUAAACCAUAAACGACUCAAUUGUUCAAAGAACGUCGUCUAACUAUAUUUUUACGUCGUAUUUGUUUAAAACACGAAACAACAAAAUACGACGGUUUUUGACUUUAUUAGGUCGUUGGAAAAGUAUUACACGUCGGUUAAGCAAUUUGUAUGUUUGUUUUUUUUUUAAUUUAAGAAAACCUCAACAAAUUUUUACAUUACAUAUUAUAGAGAAAAUUUGUACAUUAUACAUAAAUAUCAAGUGUUCAAUAAUUGCCCUGUUUAAUAAUUUGGAAAACAAACUCUGCCCAUUCAUUCCGGACUUCAUCAAUGGCUUCUUGGGGGUAUGAAGCUUCCUGGUUUCCCUUGGCAUACUGCAUAAACAAUGACUAUUAGGGUUUAUAAAUAAAAAGAAAUUCAAUCACAGACGACGAUAUUUUUCAUAACCGACGUAGUAUAUCCAUUCAACGACGUUAAUUUUACAUGACCGUCGUUGAUAAUACAAAAAACGACGUGAAAUGUAUGAAGGUAAUUUCUUCUUACCUUAUUCUCAAACCCCAAGGAAGGAUCCAUGAUGAUGUCCCUCAUGAAGCGCAUCACAUAAUACCCGCAUUCGACAUUGCUGGGUUGCUUUGGUGUGCCUGAGAGAGUUUUCCAAAUUACAUUUUUACGUCCUGCUCGGCCUAUGUGGGUAUUAUAUAUUUUUAAAGCACUGUUCACGAUGUUUUUCGCCUCUUCGUCGACCACACGAUGACCUGGCAGAGGAUCCAGAAAAUAGACGGUCUCCUUCUUUGCUCUUACAAUCAGCAAGAUCCAAUGACGGCUGCACAAAAUUAAUAUAAAAACGACGGUUAUUUACAAAAACGACGUAUUAUAGUAUUUCACACGACGAAAUAAAGUAGAUAACGACGACAUUAUAUAUUUAUCACGACGAUAAAUAAAUACCGACGUGGUUAGUAGUUUCAAACGACUAAAUAAAAUAAAACACCGACGUGGUUAGUUUAUAAGCUGUCAUUUAUUGAAAAUCAUAAAAACAAAAUCCUAAGGAGACUAACCCUGGAUUGUAAGGCAUCAUGAAAAUCUGUUCACCGUCUGUCUUCUGAAGUCGAGCUGCUACCAGUCGUGAUCUUUCAGUUAUUGUGCCAGAGUUGGCACUAACUGUAGCAGGGUCGAUAAAGCUAACCAUGCUGCACAUAUUGGCUUGUUUCAAAACAUCGUGUAAGUACCUAAAUACAUAAAAUAAUAUAAACAAGUCAGCACAAACAAACACGACGGUUAUGUAUAAAAAAACGACGUAUUAUAAUAUUUCACACGACGUACUGAAAUAGAUGAGGACGUUAUAAUAUAUUUAUCACGACGGUAGUUAGUUAAGACGACGUGGUUAGUUAGUUAAGACGACGCAAUAUAUAAACCAACGAGGUAUUAUUUUAGAAGUACAAACCUCAUAUAUACAGCCAAUACAGUAGCUCCAAUUUCUUCCAUGCCUGCAAAUUGUGUAAUAUCUUCAGGCAGGAGGAAGGUAUCGUGCUCACCACCAAACACCUCCUUAUCAAUUGUAAAUUGGAGUGUCUUAUCCUCAGGCAGGAGUGUCGUUUCCACAAAAUGACAAAGGGUUUUUAAAGAAGAUGGCGCCUCCAUAUUUGAAUAAGCACCAACUUCAAUAACCUGUUUAAAGAAAUAAAAAAAAUGACGUGGUAAUUCAAUAAAGACGACGGUUUAAGGAAUAAAACGUCGUCUUAAAAGUAUUUAAACGACGGUGAAAAAACUGUCGUGGUAAUUCAAUAAAGACGACGGUUUUAUGAAUAAAGCGUCGUCUGAAACCAUUUAAACGACGGUGCAAAAACCGUCGUUUAAAUAUUUUAUUACGUCUUAAAAAAAGUCCGCCGUCUAAGUUUUAAACAAACGACGGAUUAAAUAAAAAUAUCGACGUCUGAAAUUUUGAAAAACAAAUAAAAAAAGGCAAAGUUAUGUGAACAUACCUUGUCGUCAUGCUUUUCUUCAUCUUCUUUCUCCUUUUCUUAUUCCUUCUCUUCAUCUCUUUUUUCUUCUUCCUUCUCUUCAUCUGGCUGAUGUUUCCCCAUUUUGGCAGUAUCAUCCUCCAAAUGUAGGGAUCUCACAUCACCUCCAGAGCAGCUAGCUUUGUCAGACAUUGGAUUUUUGGGGCUUUGGCUAAUUCUUGGUUUAAGCAUGCUUGGAUCAAAAUUGGGAAUUAAUUGGGAAAGCUGACUCAGGAAAUGCUCCCUCUCAGCCUCUACCAAUUGUUUUGUCCUAGCCUCCAUCCUUAAGGCUUCUUCCCUUGCCUUAGCCUCCAUCUUUUUAGUCUCUUCUUGAAGGAGAACUCUUAAACUGUCCUUCAAACGGUCGUCAAAGCUCACCCUCUGUGGUUUGGGCAAAUUGAAAUAUUGCCUUGGGGAAACACCAGCACCAACUCUCCUCACUCUGCCUGGAUGCUCGGGGCCCAAAGCCAUGGUCAGCACAUCAUUGCUGCCAUCUACUCUGACUUUGCCUUCCGAGACUUGUUUCUGCAAUUCAUCCUAAAACAAAGAUAAACAAAAAAACACACGACGGUUAUUUAUUUACAAACGACGUAUUAUAUAAUUUCACACGACGCAAUAACGUAUAAACCGACGUUAUUAUAACUUAUCACGACGGUAGUUAUACCGACGUGGUUAUUUAUUUAAAACGACGAAAUGAAUAAACAACCGACGUCUUAUGCUAUAAUUAAAGAAAACAGAGUAGUGAUUCCUAUUUAGACCGUUAACGACGUUUUUAAAAAAGUUUCGACGUGGUAAUAUCAUUCAAACGACGCGAAAAUGAACCACCGACGUCUUAUGCUAUAAUUACAGAAAAUUAGUAGUGAUUCCUAUUUAGACCUUUAACGACGUUUUUAAAAACUUUUCGACGUGGUAAUAUCAUUCACACGACGAAAAAUAUAACAUACGACGUAAUAAGAAUAAUUCACAGUUUAAUAAAAAUUUAAAACAGAGUGAUAGUAGGCUUACAAUUAAUUUUGCUUUCUCUGCCACCUUUGGAUCAGGGAUGUUACCAUGUUUGUCCUGUCUAGCUCUCUUCCAUAAGGUAGAUCGAUCAAUUUCUACCCCAGGCAUGGUUUCCUCCAAUUGAUCCUCCAAUCCAGCAUAUCCUUUUCGAGACAAUCGAUGAUUGUACUCGAGUUUCUUCCUAAUCUGUGCAUGUUGAGAAUGCACAGACUCAAAAUCUUUGGAUAGCCUUGAAGCUACAAAGGCAUCCCAUUGUGCUUUCUCUAUGAAUUUAUAUGUUUCAGGGGGUUGGCUUAAUUUCUCCCUGUCAUUGGUGUAUGGAAGGAUAUAAUGCCUCGUUAGUGUAGACUUGAAAUCCUUCCAUUUCUGGAAGCAGAAGCUAAAACAGAGGUCUUGCCCCCUUGGCCUACGACAAAAGCCAUGUCAACUGCUUCCCAAAUCUGCUCCUUUAUAUCCUUGGGGAUUUGGGACCAUUUCUUGUCCACAAGUGGGAUCCUGGAGCGUGCCAACACACCAAUAUACGACUGCAUCUCAAUAUGUGCUUGGCCAACACCUUUCCCCCUUUUAUUGUACUCAACAAUUGGCCUCAGUUUCUGAAGCUUUCUCUUCACAACACGAGGCAUUGUGCUCAUACCUCGACCAGUCUUUGAAUCAUCAGAGAUUGUUGUCUGGCUGGUUGGUUCUGUCUCAGCAGAUGAUGAAGCAAACUUCAUCUUCUUCGAAGACUUCAUCUCCUUCGAAGACUUGUCUUGAGGAGCUACCAUUCCAAGCUUCUUGGAGCCAGAAUCCUUAGUUUGUUGUUGAGAAACCAUUUUAACAGACAAAACUGCAAGUGAAAAUAUUUCAGGAAAACAUUAAGAACACAAACGACGGUAUUAAAAAAAUACGACGUAUGAUAUGAUUUUAGACGACGCAAUGAAAUAAUCUCAGACGUAAUAAAUGUUUAAAACCAUUAUUUAUAUAACGUCGUGGUAUAUAUGUUCACACGACGUCAAUAGUAAUACACCGUCGUGGUAAACUAUUAUUUAUAUAACGUCGUGGUAUUUAUGUUCAUACGACGUUAAUAGUAAUACACCGUCGUGGUAUUAACAUUCACACGACGUAAAACAAUAAGAUAUUUUGUCGUCUAUAUUAGAUACCAACCCUAGUUUCUUUUUCUUUAUAUUUUAUCAAAUAAGGGAAAAACAAAAACCAUUGUUCAGAGAAAUCAAACCUGCAAUUAAACAAGCAUAUAAAAAAAGACUAUUAUUUUAAAAACAACUUUGUCAAUUUUCAGACGACGCUAGAACAACUGACGAACCGUCGUGGUCUACCGUCGUCUUAUUUAGUUGAGGUAGUUGUCUUCAAAGUUGGAAACUUUCCCUCUUUGUCUGUAUAUUUUAUCAAAUUUGGAAAGAAGUACAAUGAUUUUGGCCAGAAAAAAGGUAAAAAGAUUUUUCAAACAAAAAACGUAUGAGCAUGCAAAACAGUAACCAAAAUAGUGAAAAUGAAAGCUUACCUUUUGCGUGCAAUGAAAGCAAGAGGAAGAUGAUCGAUGUUUAAGUUCAAGGACGACGAAGAAGACGAGAGGAAGACGAUGAGAAACUCUGACAAUGCUCUGACAAGGAAAAAAGACGAAAAGGUUUCUCUGGAGAUUGAAAUUUUUAAUCGGGUUUGGAAACAGUGCAUGUGUAAGUUCAAAAGUUGCUUACAUAUAAAACCAUUUCAAAAAAAUAAUACGGCGGUUACAUUUAACUACGUCGUUUUUAACUAACACGACGAAAUAUUUUUCGUUCGACGUGGAAUCAUUUCAUUUAACGUCGUUAGGUUUAAUAUAACCGACGUGGAUUUUAAUUUUUAAAUUAUGAAUAUAAUUUUUUUUCCCGUGACCUUUCAGUUUAUUUUUCAAUUACAGUGCGUUAUAAAUAGAGUUCUUUUUCCAGAGGAAAUUUAAAACGAAGGAAAUUAAUAUUCUGCAAUAUGUAAAGUUUCUUUUUUGGAUGACAGAUUUAAAUAAAAUAAGAAUAUAAAAAUAACUAAUGUGUAAGUCAAGUAGACGAAAAGUUGCUUACAUAUAAAAUCAUUUCAAAAAAAUAAUACGGCGGGUACAUAUAACUACGACGUAUAAAGUACAAAAUACGACGGUAAAUUUAACUUCGGACGUGGUAAAUAAAUACGACAGUAGUGUUGUAGGUACCGUCGUAGUAAACUCAAAAAUUAAAGUACAUAAGUAAUAACUCGCGUCAUGGUAGAUUAUUUAAGACGUCGUGAUUAUUAAUGUACCGACGUGGAGUUCUGUAAUAUACGUCAGUAAUACCGACGUUGAUUUUACAAUUUAAACGGCGGUUUUUUGGUAAGGACCGCCGUUGGUUUUAAAAAUUUAUUCUAUAAAUUUGUCGCUUUCAUUCAUUUUCGCGGUUUACAUUUAGGGUUCCAAGUUCUUCCUCUCUCAGAGACACUGUCUCUCACAUCUCAAAGACAAUAAUUUGGAGGUCUUUCUCAAAGAGAAAUUGAGCUUACAUUUAGGCUAGUUGACAAGAAGAAGCUUGUCAACUAGCCUUCUCACUUCCUUGAUCAAGCCUGAUAGGACACUUAGUGCUUCUGAAUACUCCUUGCUUUCCAUCAAAAGAGAUGCAAGCCUGGCCUCCACUCGUUGUCGAAGGAAAGUUCGCUUCUCAGGGAAAUCUGAAAAUCAGAUGUGCUUGAUCCUCUGCUUGAUUUUUUUGACUAAGAAGAUCCGUCAGAUUUAAGCAUGAGCAAUCGAAUCCGUAGAGCUUCAGAAGAAGAAGAAGACAUUGUCAAUGCUUUGAACUAUACAAGUCUGCAGAAAGAUAAAGGACCAAACUGUUAAAGAAACUGAAACAACGGCGGUUUUCUGUUCUACCGUCGUCUUUUCUCGUCGUCUAUAUUAAGGUAAGAUGGCGGUAGAUUUAUAAUUACCGACGUAGAUUAUUUUGUUAAACGUCGUUAAGUGUACUACAACCGACGUGGAUUUUAUUUUUAAAUUAUAAAUAGAGUUUUUUUUCCAGACUUCUUUCAGUUUUAGUUUUCAAUUACAAAGCGUGAUAAAUAGAUUUUUCUUUCCCGAGGAAAUUUAAAAUGAGGGAAAUUAAUGUUCUAGAAUUUGUAAACUAACACGACGCAAUAUUACUAACCCGAGGAAAUUAUAAAUAGAUUUUGCUUUCCUGAAGAAAUUUUAAAUUAAUUCAGUUUGAAACAAAACGACGGUUUUUUGUUAUGCCGUCGUUUUUAACUAACACGACAGAUUUAAAUAAAAUAAGAAUAUAAAAACAACGACUGUUUUUUUACUACUGUCGUCGUUUUUCGUCGUCUUAAGUAAGACUAAGACGACGUAAUAUAUUUGUUGAGCGACGUUGAUUUGUUUUUAAACGUCGUUAGGUAUAAUAUAACCGUCGUUGAAAAUUGUCUCUCUGAUUGCAAAUUUGCAACGACGUUGAUCAACUUCCAAAAAAUUGUCUCUCUGAUUGCAAAUCUGUGUCAUCUGUUAAGAUUAUUUUGUAUUUUAAAGCCGUGGAUUUGUUUGUAAUUAUACGGCGUCUUAUACGAAAACCUCGUCGUGUUAUUUUAUGAGUAAAAACGGCGGCUUUUAUUGAAAUCGUCGUCUUUACUUUCUACGUCGGUCUAUUCAUAACUUCUGCCGUUCUUUGUUUGCUUUGAUUUUACAUUGCGGAAAUCUGUUUCAAAUAGACGUCGGUUGUUUAAUUAGGUACGUCGUUGUUUUUGAACAGCCAUUUGAAUCUCCAUUUUUUAGUUGUCUAAGGUGGUAUUACACGACGGUGUUUUUAGAACCGUCGUCUUUUUAAAAACCACGACGGUUUUCACUUAGACCGUCAUUGUUUUCUGGUCGUCUUUUUCACUUUUUGUAGUAGUGUGGAAAACCAACUAGACCUAAAGAUAAAAGUUGUAAGGCCUGACAGAGGAGGAGAGUUCUAUGGGAGAUUCGAUGAGCUUGGAGGAAUCUUGGUCCUUUUGCAAGGUUUCUAUAGCAAGAAGGAAUCAUUGCUCAAUACACUAAUCCAUAGACUCCACAGCAAAAUCGAAUUGCAUAGAGGAGAAACAGAACUCUAAAGGAUAUGAUAAGAAGCAUGAUGUGAUGCACAAACUUACCAAUUUUUCUGUGGGGAGAAGCUUUGAACACAUCAAAUCACAUACUCAAUCGAGUACCAAACAAGGGUAUCAACAAUAUCCCUUAUGAAGUUUGGAAUAAGAAAAAAUUACGCUUGAAACAUUUGAAAACAUAGGGCUGCAAGAUAGAGGCAAAGCUUUAUAACCCUAUGGAAAAGAAGCUGGAUUCGAGAACUGUAAGUGGUUAUUUCAUAGGAUAUCUAGAUAGAACUAAAGGAUACAGAUUCUAUUGUCCUAAAAACACUACCAGAUUUGUAGAAACUCAGAGGGCAAUGUUUAUAGAAUCUGAAGGUGAGACAAUCGAAGAUGAAAAUUUUGAGUUUGAUGAAGAUAUUGCAGAAACUGGGGAAACAAUACAAACUGACAUUUUGGUGUUACUAAGUUUUGACUUGAAUGGCAAACAAAACAACCAAGAAGGGCAAACUGGUACAGACCCUAUGGUCACUGAAGAAGAAACUCAAGAAAAUCAAGUUUUACUACCCGAAAAUCAAGAUGUAGUUCAAACACAAGAAGGAACUAAUAAUCAGACAAAUGCAGGACUAAGAAGGUCAGAAAGACCAAAGAAACGUGCUUUACAUAAUGAUUAUGUUUACCUUCAAGACUCAGAGCAUAAUGUGAAUGACAUUGAGGAUCCUAUGAACUUCAAGCAAGCAAUGAUGAGUAACAAAAAUGAAAAUUGGUGGGCUGUUUUGAAAUCAUAAUUAGGUUCCAUGGAAAAUAAUGGAGUUUGGGAGCUUGUGCCUUUACCAUAAGGGAGCAAACCAAUUGGCUACAAGUGAGUGUUCAAAACCAAGAGAAAUUCGAAGGGGUGGAUAAAUAGAUAUAAGGCUAGAUUGGUUACUAAGGGGUUCACACAGAAAGAAUGAAUUAAUUUCAAUGAGACCUAUUCACUUGUCAUAACAAAAGACUCCUUGCAAGUGAUCAUGGCACUAGUAGCUCAUUUUGAUUUACACUUGCCUCAAAUAGAUGUUAAGACUACAUUCUUGAAUGGAAACUUGGAGGAAGAAAUUUAUAUGCAACAACCAGAAGGUUUCAUUCAAGAGAAUGGAGAAAAUCUGGUUUGCAAGUUGUGUAAAUCAAUCUAUAGUCUAAAACAAGCAUCUAGAGAGUGGUAUAAGAUUCAAUGAAGUUGUUAAACUAUAUGGUUUUACAGAGAAUGUCUUAGAUAAGUGCAUUUACAUGAAGAUGAGUAGGAGUCACUUCAUAAUUCUGAUUCUUUAUGUAGAUGACAUUCUGCUAGCUUGCACCAACAUGUCCAUGUUACACGAUUGCAAGGCAUUCCUGGCUAAACAUUUCGACAAUGACAGAUUUGGGAGAAGCCUCAUACAUUUUAGGAAUCGAAAUUAGCAGAAAUAGAAAGAGAGGUUUGUUGGGACUAUCAUAGAAAACUUAUAUAGAAAAGAUACUCAAAAGGUUUAACAUGCAAGGCUGUGCAAGGUCAGAUGUGCCUAUUUCGAAGGGAGAUAAAUUUAGUACUAAUCAAGCACCAAAGACUGAUCAAGGAAAGCUUGAGAUGGCAGAUAAACCUUAUGCAUCAUUAGUGGGGAGUCUCAUGUGUGCACAAGUAUGCACAAGACCUGAUAUUACUUUUAUAGUAAGUGUAUUGGGAAGAUUUUAGUCAAAUCCUGGACAAGCAUAUUGGAUUGCUGGUAAAAGAGUCAUGAGAUAUUUGCAGAGAACAAAAGACUAUAAGUUGGUUUACAAAAGAAGUGACAGACUGGAAGUAGAAGGUUAUGCUGAUGCAGAUUUUGCAAGUUGCAAAGAUGACUUGAAAUCUACAUUAGGAUAUGUUUUCCUAUUUGAGCAGCAAUAUCAUGGAGAAGUAACAAGCAACCACUCACAAUUGCAUUGACUAUAUUGGCAGAAUUUCUGGCUUGUUAUGAAGUAACCACUCAAGCUAUGUGAUUAAAGAACUUUAUCACUAGUUUGGGUGUGGUUGAAUCAAUUCAACAACCUAUACAUCUUUGGAAUAAUAACAGUGCAAGAGUACUUUUUGCAAAAGGGAAUAAAAGAACAAAGGCAUCAAGAAUUCUGGAAGUUAAAUUCUUUGCUGUCAAAGAAAAGACUAGAGAUGGGCAUACUGUGUUGGAGCACAUUGGCACAAAUGAAAUGGUUGCAGAUCCACUUACUAAGGGGUUACCAAAUGUUGUUUUUCACAGACAUGUGAUUAGCUUGGGAUUGACAGUUCAUUUGGAUGACUAAAACAAUGGGAGUUUUAUCAAGUUCUGGUAGUUUAACUAGUUUUGCUAUUUUCUAUUUAAAUUCAUAGAGUGGUGUUUUAAUUUGGAUGAUUUUCAGUUUAAGGAUUCGAAUAUAGUAUAUUUAUGCAAUGUAGUUUAUAUGCACAUGUGAUUACUUGAAUAUGUGUGGGUGGCAUAGCAUGCAUUUAAGCUAGCCAUGAGAAGAUUGUAUUCAUGACAGUUUGUAAUUUUUGUUAUGCAAAUUGAGACCUUGUUAGUCAUUUAUAGGGACAAAGGAAUUAGAUGACUUUUGUUUAAAGCACUUUCAGUAAGGUCAUCUACAUUCUAAAGUUUUAAUCUUGAUCGAAGCCUUAUGUGGUGUUGAAGAGUUUUAAGUGUGAAUAUAAAGACUUUGAUAACUGUAUGAUCAAUAAGUCUCUUAUAAUUUUUCUUCAUUAACAACUUAGUGGGAAUUUUAUCUGGAUAUACUUUCACAAGGCCUUAAAGUGAUCAAUACGAGUUUUCCUUAGCGAUUAUUUAACCAAGUGGGAGACUGUAAGACAAAUCCGUGUCUUAGUCUAAAUUGUGGUCUUCUAAUCAUAUCUGGUUUGGAGGAGCUCUAAUUGAUCAGGAAGUAUUAAUCCUAAUACAAGUAGGAUACUCAAUCAAACAGUGCGUUUACAUUGAGAUAGGAGUAUCUUAAGGAUUCCUAAUUCUAUAUGGAUUAAAACAUCCAAUUCCUAAGUAAACAAAAUCUGUUUGAGUACUCCUUGAUGGGUAAGGUACCGGAACAGAUGCUUAUAAAUAAGGUCCCUUUUGUAUCGGCUAAAAUACACUCAUAACAGAAAACUCACCCCAUCCAGAGAUAGAGAUAAAGAGCCGAGUUGGAGAAGAAGAUUCUUAUUCACAAUGUCUGAUCAAGGUUAGUAUUUGAGAUUCAAAGACAUGAUAACUUAUAGUAUAUAUGGGUUGUUAAGAUUUUAUCCAGAGAUUCAAAGAAAGCUUUUUUCUUUUUAUUAAACCCUUUUCAUCUUUUUCAAUGGUGCACAGUGCAAUAUCCGAGUGGGGAAAUUGGGAAAUUAAAGGAUGAAAAAUAAUAAUUGGGGCAUGCCAAAUUGGCAAAUGCGUAAAGGAGAUGAAGCCUAUCAAAAACAUCAUUUGUUGGCAAUGGAAACUGCAGGAUGAUUGGAAGUUAAGCCAUCUAAAAUCUCCAUCAGUAUCUCUCACUCACUCAUCUUUUGGGACAGAUUCCAGCUUUCUUCCACCACCCACUACAACCUCUCUGUCUACCCCACACCCAAGCAAGAUUCCAAUUAAUCAUCUUCGCUCUCUGAUAAAAGAUUCCUGCUGUUAAUUUAUUCGCACCAGAAAUUAGGGAUGGCCCAUUCACAAUCAAACAAACACAAGAUAACUUUGCUGGACCGCUCAUUUUCUUUAAUUCUACUAAGGCAAUUACAUUAUUGUGACAACGAUUGUCUUAAUCUCAAAUAUCUUCAAGUACAGAAAUGAUAAGUAUUUAGUCUGGAUCAUAAGAAUAUAGUGGUAAAUACAAUUAGUUUCUACCUCAACCUUUUUGAGGCAUUUCGACGAACUGUUUAAGGAAAAUAUCAAUAGAUAACUGAAUUGAUGAGCCAGAUUAAGAACAUAGAUGUCCGAGUGCAGAAUAUAGUAAUUUAUAAACAAAUGAAAAUAGUAUUUUUCCAGUAAUAAUUUUUGAAAAGAACUAAUGAUAGAGACCAAUUGUUUAAAUUAAACAACACUUUGUUUUCUUGUAAUACUUUCAAUUAGUUGGAUGAUUGGUGUGGUCUUCGUGGACUCAGUUGUUAGUUGGAUAAUUAGUUAAACGACUAUAAUUAGAUGUUUUAAAUAGCUUUCAAUUGUCUAAUAUUUCAUAAAAAUCAACUGUAAAUUACGACUCAGAUGGUUGAAAUACAAUUUACUUCAAAAUAACAAAUUAUUCAACGUGUUGAGAAUGUUGUAUAUGGAGUCUACAUAGACUUGACUAGUUGGGUGUUAGGCAAUUAUGAAUUGAAAAUAUUUGUCAUCAGUAAAUGCUUGGAAAUUAAUGCCAUGUUUGGUAUGUCUCAUUAUGUCUUAUUGGACUGGACUGUGUUGUAUAGUACUUGAAAUCCAUAUUUGAUAAUGGAGGGGAUUAACUUAAAUGGGAUUAUAUAGUUCAUCAGUGUAAAAAAGCUCCGGACUCACUUGUCUAAUAUAGCAAUGCUGAAAUGUGGUUCGUAAAUUAGCGAGAACGCUAUUUUGAGCAUGCAGUCCAACCCUUGGCUUGAAUUACAACUUUUUUUUUAAUGAAAUAGGAAGGAAAAAAAAAACACGAUAACAAAAAGAAAAGAGAGAGAGAGAGAGAGAGAGAGAGAGAGAGAGAGAGAGAGAAAUGCUAGGAAAAAAAAUAAAAACAGAAAAAGAGAGAGAAAUUAAUAAAAUAAUUAUUUUUUAGUCCGACACAGAAUCAAACAUAGGUCUUCACUAUUUUUACAAUUCAACUAUUUAAUCCGACGUAACACCAAAAGUAGCUCAAUAUUUAAUCCAGCUUACGCCAAACGAACCCUAAGCCCGAUAACCCCAGUUGACAUCGUCCCUGUCUCCAAUUAGCCUAUAUAAGGCCAAGGGUAUGCUUACAUUACAGCAGCAACUCAAUAAUCUAGAGGUAAUCUUGUUAAUUAUUCAUGGAAACUCCCAUUAUUUUUAGCUCCUCCUUCCUUAGGUUUUUCAUGGGUUUCUUCUCUGUACUUCUAUGCCUAAUUCUCUGCUCUUUCGAGAACGGAUUUGCUUCGGCAGCAAGAGAUACAAAACCCCACCUUCUGCCACAUACCACUCACACAGUUGAAGUAAACUCUCUUCUACCAGCAACCACCUGCAGCCCCUCCACCAAAGGUUAAUUCAUCCCAUAUUAUAUAUAUAUAUAUAUAUAAAACUUAAUUUCAAUGCAUUUAUGUAUCUCUAACACACACUCUCUCUCUCUAUGCAUACAUGUUUCGAUGAUCUCAGGUCAUAACAAUAACAAGGCAUCAUCGGUAUUGAAAGUGGUGCACAAACAUGGGCCAUGCUCCAAAUUCCACAAAUCAUCAAAAACUUCAACCACAACUAGUGAUGAAAAAUACCAUGCUCAAAUCCUCAAGCAAGACCAAGCCCGAGUCAACUCCAUCCACUCCCGCCUCAACCACAACAACAACAGCAGAAUCAAAGACCCACUCACCCAAUCCGCUGCUACCACCCUCCCCGCCAAGUCCGGUAUUGUUAUCGGCUCACCGAACUACAUUGUCACCGUCGGCCUCGGUACACCCGCCAAGCAACUCUCCCUCGUCUUCGACACUGGCAGCGACCUCACCUGGACCCAAUGCAAGGCAUGUUCUGCUACUCAGUCUUGUUACAAUCAGACUGAGCCCAUCUUCGACCCUUCUCUCUCCGCCUCAUACAAAAAUAUCUCAUGUACCACCGCCGCGUGUACUCAGCUCUCAUCCUCCGGCAUCGAACACCGCUGCUCCGCCUCCACCUCCGCCUGCCUCUACGCCGCCGGGUACGGAGACAUGUCCUUCACUAUCGGGGUCUUUGGCAGCGAAAAGCUUACAUUGACCCCCACGGACGUUUUUGAAGGUUUCCUCUUCGGCUGCGGCCUAGAUAACGAAGGCCUUUUCAGCGGAUCCGCCGGUUUGCUCGGUCUCGGCCGGAGCAGCACCUCCCUCGUCGAACAAACCGCCAAUAAAUACAACCGGUUCUUCUCCUACUGCCUCCCGUCUACUUCCAGCUCCACCGGUCACCUCACCUUCGGAGACGGAGGCUCCGCUAACGGCGUUAAGUUCACGAAGCUCAUCACGUCAUCCCAAAGCGAGUCGUUUUACGGCCUCGGCCUCGCCGGCAUCAAAGUCGGUGGGAGCCAGCUGUCGAUUGAGCCCUCAGUCUUUUCGUCUUCUGGAACGAUCAUCGACUCGGGGACUGUGAUCACGCGGUUGCCGGCGACGGCAUACGCGGCGUUGCGGGGCGCGUUUCGGGAGGCGAUGAAGAACUACACGCUGACUGAGUCGUUUUUGUUGCUGGACACGUGUUACGAUUUCAGCGGCUUGAACACGGUGACGUAUCCGAAGAUAGCGUUUAUGUUUGGGGAUGGACUUACGGUGGACUCGGACGCGACCGGGAUAUUGCUUCUGAUAAGUCCUUCGCAGGUUUGCUUGGCGUUUGCCGGAAACGAGGAUGAUAGUGACUUUGGGAUUAUUGGGAAUGUUCAACAGAAGAGGUUGGAGGUUGUGUAUGACGUCGCUGGAGGAAAAGUCGGAUUUGCCCCUGAAGGUUGCCCUUGAGUAAGGGAAAUACCCAUGUAGUUCUUAUUUUCUAGAUACUGGCCCCUGGCACAUGCAUGAUCUUGUGUCAAUUGGUUUUCUUUUAAAUAUAUAUUGUUUUUAGAAUUAAGAAAAGGUAAUAUAAAUAGUUAUGUUCUAUAAAAGUAGAAUCUAUUAUCUGAUUUUAUUUUAAUAUGAAUUUAUCAUAUUAUCCUUAUUUAAUUAAUAAUUUCAAUUUUUAAUGUUUGUAUUAAUUAAGGGCAUUUUUUGGUAUUUUAAAUAAUUUACCAUUCUCUGCAUUGCUUUAUAUAUAUAGAUAAUUUAACUAUUUCUAAAUAUUUAAGAUAAACCCAAAUUCGAAAUUUGCUGUCAUUUAAGAUAAUAUUUGUCCUAGUAUUAUCAAUUAAAUUACAAUAUGUGCCAUUAACCUUCGUUUGUUUGCAACUGUACAUUGAUUCUUUUCCUAAUAAACACUGUAUAGUCUCUUGGAUGCAUGAUCCCUUCCUUGCCGUAAAUUUGUAUUGAUUUCAUAAAAAGUAAUAAUCAAAAUAAUUGAUGUACUGAUUGGAAUUUGUUUUUAUUAUAUAUAAAUGGCACGUAUAUUAUUUUUACAAUGUGCCUACAAUGGUGCUCAUUUUUAAAUAAAAAUAAUUUACCUGUAUGACAUGUACUUAUAUUGUACCUUAUUAUCUUUUAUUGAUAAUAGGAACAUUAUGUAUUUUAAAAAGAGGUACGUUAUCUUAUAUUGAUAAUGUCAAUUUAUCUAUUAUCUCUUAUUGAUAAUAAUUUGGGAGAUUUUGGAAAAGCCCAAAGGAGAGAGAAAAUUUUUAAAAGAAGCCGAAAUGGACAAAAUUGCCCUUAUUUAUUUUUUGAUUUCUUAAGGAAUCUUUUACAUUUGCAUGUCUUUGGUUUGAAAGUUGAGAGGUUUUUCUGUCUUUUUUGAAAAAGCUUUGGCUUUUUUCAAAAGUGAAAAUUUUUUUAUGGGUAAAACCUAAAUUUACUUAAUAAAUAAUUUACCUAUUAUCUUGUACUAGCCUCUUUGCGUGCGCUUCUGCGCUUGCGAGAGGAUUUUUUUUAAAAAAAAUUUAUUUUAGAAUUAAAAAAGAUAAUUGGUAGUUGUGUUUCAUAAAAAUAGGAUCCAUUAUUUGAAUUUUCUUUUAAUUUUAUUUUUUUAAUAUGAAAAAGUGUGAAUUUACUAUAAUAUCCUCAUUUAAUUAAUAAUUUCAAUUCUUAAUAUUUGCAUUAACCAAUGGCAUUUUUUGGCAUUUUGAAUGUUUUAACAUUCUCUGCCUUUUGCUUUAUAUAUAUAGAUGAUAAUAGGUAAAUUAUUUUUAUAAAAUAUUUGGUACAUUAUUUUCAAAAAUGCGUUAAAUGAGUUGGGUAUAUUAUUUAAAUCAUAAGUAAAUCAUAAUAAAAAAAUGAUGCAUAAAGAGUAUUGAAUUGCAGUUACCAAAAAAACAAGUACUGAAUUGCAGGCUAAUUCCAGGUACUAAGACUUAAUACACCUACCAUAUAACAGGUUAAUUUGUAAAUAGGGGUAGUUUUGGAAUCUGAAAAAUAUAAUAAAUCAUAUUUUAAGUUAGAUUAGGUAACUUGCUUAGUUGGAUCUUAGUCAUAAGGUUUUAUUUGAAAAAAUUGGAUAUUUUAAAUAGAAAAAUAAAGAGAAGAACUACAGGUGAUUAAAAAUGAAUUUUAUGAGUCUAAGCUUAAUUUACUAUUCUUUUUUUAAUAUAACAUUUGUGUUUUAAAAAGCAAAAGGAAGACAAUAUGGUUUUUAUUUUUGUAUUGAAGUGAUAUUAUAAACUGAACCUAGAACUUUAGAUAUGGAAUAAAUAUUCUUAACAACUCGAAAAACAGCAGUUUGAAGAAAGAUUAGUGAACAUUCCAAAGUUUGGUGUACGGAUAUAGUUAAACUGAUUGUUUGAUCAGUUUAACUAUGGACUCUGUUGACUCAUUGACUUUGGGACCCAUGAGUAGUCGUGAGUCGUGACUAGGAAGGAACAGAAACGCAUGCAUGAUGCAUGCAGUACCUUCCUUCCAGACUCCGAGUCCACUUGGUAUUAAUUACACUAUUGACAUAUUGUAUGCAUAAUGUAUGUAUGUGUAUUGACAGAGAACCUUCUUACCUUCAUUUUCAUUUUUUGUCUUUUCCUUGAAAGAUAAUUAACAUAAGAGAACGGGUGGACAAAGUCGAUCGACCAAAAAAUGACAACAAAAAAAUUGUAACGGGUUAGGGCGGGGUUUGAGAACGAUGGUAUGGAGCAAAUGCUAGAAAAUUAAACCCUCCAAAUAGUUUAUAUAAGGCCAAUAGUAUGCUUAAACUUAAAUCUACAGCUAGCUAGGCUUGUUAACUAUAUUCAUUUCUAGCUCCUCCUCUUUCCUCAGGUUUUUUCAUGGGUUUCUUCUCUGUGUUUCUGUUCCUAAUUCUCUGCUCUUUCGAAAAGGCCAUUAUUGCUCUGGCAGCAACAAGUCCAGAACCCCACCUUCCGCCACACACUACUCACACAGUAGAAAUAAACUCUCUUCUACCAGCAACCACCUGCACCCCCUCCACCAAAGGUUAAUUCAUUUCAAACCCCAUUUUAAUUACGCUGUUAAUUCUCUCUCUCUCUCUCUCUCUCUCUCUCUCUCUCUCUCUCCCCCUAUAUAUAUAUAUAUAUAUAUAUAUAUUCAAUAUUCAUAUAUUGUCUGGCUAUAUACGCUGUUAAUUCCAAUGGCGCAUGGGAGUAGAGACUGUGAAAUUCCCUCUAAUAUUCAUAUGCAUAGAAAAACAUACACAUUUUUUUUUUAAGUUUAGCAUAUUAAACUUAUACACACUACACAAAUGCUAUGACUCAACUCUAGAACCUUCCAUAAAAAAGCUAUUAUUCUAAAUCACUACACUAGUUGAUCUUUUUUUUUUAAAAAAAAAAACACACAUAAAGAGCCCCGUGCUUGGCCAAAAAAAAAUCUAAACCAAAUUUACUCUUUUUUUUUAUUUAUAGUAAAUUGAGCUUAGACCAAUAAAAUUCAUUUUAAGUUACCUACAACCCUUUCCUUUAGUUUUCUAUUUAAAAUACCCAAUUUUUUCAAAUAAUACCCGAUGAUUAUGAUCCAACUAAGCAAGUUACCUAAAAUAACUUAAAAUUUGAUUUAUUGUAUUUUUCGGAUUCCAAAACUACCCAUAUUUAUAAGUUAAUAAGUUAUAGGGGGUGUAACUAAUGACACCCGUUGAAUUUAGAAAGAUCUCCAAAUAGUUAUAAUGGAUGUAGGAACUAAUUCAAAAAUUUAUUUGAAAUUAAAUAUUAAAUUCCACAUUGAAGUAUUAUUAAUCUAUUUUACGACUAGUAAUCUAUUUUUGAAUUAAUGGUGUUUUUCUUCUAUGAAUUACGACUAGUAAUCUAUUUAAAGUAUUAGUAAUUUAAAUUCAAUAUUAAAUUUAGGAAUUAAUGUUGUUUUCUUUUUAUGAAUUAUACGACCGGUAUUCUUUUUAUUAUAGUUUUAUGAAUAAUAGUGUACGUUCUAAUUAUAUUGAAAAAUAAUUUGAUAAUCUAUUUAUUGUUUUGUUUUUAAAAUAUUUUUUUUAAUGAACCUAUUUUUCUCCAAAUAUUGUACCUAUUUUUUUCUUUUUUAUUGUUUUAUGAAAAUAUAUUUGAUCAUAUUUUUAUUGUUUGUUUUAUGAAAAUAUUUUUUUUACAUGAGCCUAUUUUUUCUCUCAAAAUAAUGUAUCAAUUUUUUUUCCUCUAAUAAUGUACCUAGUAAAACAAUUUACCUAGUAUGAUGAACCUAUUUUUUCUGCUGAAUUUUGUAUCUAUUUUUUUCUAUAAAUAAUGUACCUAUUUUUUUUCUCUAAUAAUGUAUACCUGGUAAAACAAAUUUUCUAGUAUAAUGAACUUAUUUUUUUCUUCUAAAUAAUGUGCAUAUUUUUAAUUUAUAAAAAUGUGUAUAAAUUUCAAUUAUACAACGUACCUAUUUUCUAUAAAUUAUUGUGUACCUAUUUUUAAUUUAUGAAAAAUGUACGAAAAUUUCAAUUACGAAGUAACUGACCUAUUUUUGUCAAAUUUUUUCGGUAAAUAAUAUACCGAUAUUGUUAUAGGUAUAUAUUUAUAUUUAUAUUUUUCAUAUGUGCAUUAUUGGAUAUGUAAUUUACAUAUUAUUUUUUUUAUUUGCAAUUUUAAGGGGCCAUAUGCUAGAGAGAAUGGCAACCGAAAGAAAUGGGGUGAUUGAUAUGCUAUUAAUAGGGAGUUUUAAUUACAAUUAUGGCAGUUAAUGAAAGGCUUGGAAUAAAUUAUAAAUAAAAUAUGAAGUUUGAUGGCAAUGAUGUAAAAACAUAUGAAUACUACGACCUCUUAUAUCCUACUGGUCAUUUAAGUUUGAAAUUGCGUUUUACACAUAAAUUUAUAGAAUGAUGGGUAUAUGCCUGGAAAAAUAGAAUUUGUAGGGCAUAUAUAGUAACAAAGAAAAACAACAAAAUAACAUAGCCCCCGUGCCCCAUUACCUUUGUGUCUCUCUCACCCACAUGGCAUGCAUGGUCUUGUUACCCGUAAACUAGUGGCAGGCAUGCACAGAUGGAUAUAAUUGUGAAUAUAUGCAUAAAGAGUCACAUGUAUACAUACACUCAUCCCUUUCAAUGACCAGGUCAUACCAAUAACAAGGCAUCAAUAUUGGAAGUGGUACACAAGCAUGGGCCAUGCUCUAUAUUCCACAAAUCAUCCAAAACUUCAACCACAAAAAGUGAUGACAAAUACCACGCUCAAAUCCUCAAGCAAGACGAAGCCCGAGUCAACUCAAUCCACUCCCGCCUCAACUACAGAAUCCACGACCCAUUCACCCAAUCCUCCGCCUCCGCCACCCUCCCAGCCAAGUCCGGUCUCCUUCUGGGCUCACCGAACUACUUAGUCACCGUCGGUCUCGGCACACCCGCCAAGCAACUCUCUCUCGAAUUCGACACCGGCAGCGACCUCACCUGGACCCAAUGCCGCCCAUGUCUUCGAUAUUGUUACACACAGAGCGAGCCCAUCUUCGACCCUUCUCUCUCUGCCUCAUACAAAAACUUAUCCUGUACAUCCGCCACGUGUACUCAACUCUCAUCCGCCGGCAUCCCACACCGUUGCUCCUCCGCCUCGUCCUCCUGCCUUUACGGCAUCCGGUACGGUGACGGGUCCUUCUCCAUCGGGGAUUUCGCCAAAGAAAAGCUUACAUUGACCUCCAUGGACGUUUUUGAAGGUUUCCUCUUCGGCUGUGGCCAAGACAACCAAGGCCUUUUCAACGGCUCUGCCGGUUUGCUCGGUCUCGGCCGAAACAACAUCUCCCUCGUAGAACAAACCGCCAUGAAAUACAACCGCUUCUUCUCCUACUGCCUUCCGUCAACUUCCAGCUCCACCGGUCAUCUCACCUUCGGCAACGGAGGAGGCUCCGCUAACGGCGUCAAGUUCACCAAGCUCACCACGUUAUCCGAAAGAGAGUCGUCGUUUUAUGGCCUCGGCCUCACCGGCAUCAGCGUAGGCGGGUGCCAGCUGCCGGUUGCGUCCUCGGUCUUUUCGUCUUCGGGAACCAUCAUCGACUCGGGGACGGUGAUCACGAGGCUGCCGGCGACUGCAUACACGGCUUUGCGGGACGCGUUUCGGGAGGGUAUGAAAAACUACACGAUGACUAUGUCGUUUUCGCUGCUGGACACGUGUUACAAUGUCAGUGGCUACGAGACGGUGUCGUUUCCGGAUAUUGCGUUUGGAUUUGGGGACGGGGUUACGGUGGACUUGGACGCGGCCGGGAUAUUGUUGGCGGUAAGUGAUUCGCAGGUUUGUUUGGCGUUUGCGGGAAACAAGGAUGAUAGUGACAUUGGGAUUAUUGGGAAUGUUCAACAGAAGCGGUUGGAGGUGGUGUAUGACGUGGCUGGUGGAAAAGUCGGAUUUGCCCCUGCAAGUUGCCCCUGAGUAAUGAACAUCGUCCAUGGGGCAUAAUUGUAACACAAACUGCUAGCUAUAGAAUAAAGCAUUGUGUUCCAUAUUUUUCUGUAAUGGGAUUGUAUUGGGAAGUAUCCAAUUCUUACCUUUCCCCACUACUUGUAUAAAAUAGUCUAAUGACCAAUCAAGCGAUAGUAUUUUAUAUAAUAAUAAAAUAAUCGAAUGUAUUGGAAGGAAAAUUCCAACUCAAAUACAAAAAGGGGUUUAUUGCCCUAAUCAAUUCUCCUAACUCACGUAUGUUGUCGGUGUUUUGAAGUAAUGCCACGUGUUAAUGUGCUGUUUCUCUUUUGAAAUAGCAAAAGUAGAACACUAAUCUCCAUCUCCUAGUUUGGGCUUGUUUUGCUUUUGGACUCGACCAGGCCAACUUUAGCACAAAAUGUCUUAAGAAGGACCUAAAAGAAAAUAAAAAAAGAAAAGGUCAAUGAAUUGGGAAGGCUUUGGCUUGGGCUUGGGGUGGUUCAGCUUCAAAUUUUAACCAGUGCCUAGGGUUCAGUGUAUUGGUUUCAGCGGAAAGGCUCGUCAGUCUGCAGUCUGUGUCUUGGGCUGCCUAUCCUUAACUAACCACUUUCUGAUUGCUUUGUGUAUGGGCUUUUUUUUUUCGGCAGCUACAAAUGGGCUAGGCUGCUAUAAGGAGCGAAUUGAUAAAAUUAUCUCUUGUGUUUAAGUUCAAAGAUCAAGCCCCAAGAAUGCUUCUAAAGGAUAGUGAAGCCUUAAGAAACACUUUGGUUACCUUCACCAACAAAAAUAACAACAGCUUACAGAUAAAUUCUUAGCUUGGCAUGAGAAGCUUGUGGCAUGGGAGCUAAGCAUUCAUGAAUUUAGCAUGAGAGAGAGAAAUGAUUGAGAUUUCCUAUGAGAAAUAGAGUUUUUAAGGCAUGAGGGAAGGGAUUCUAAAAGGAUUUGUUGUGGAGAGAGAGGGGGAGAGAGAUGAGGGCAAUGGGUGGCUUAAGUGUUUUUCCACCAGCUUGACAGAGGCUCUGUCAAAUGUUAAAACAGUCUACCAAAAAAGGGAAAAUGGGAGAGAAUGAUGAAUAUAGCACGAAUUUGCUAGGUUUUGCAAGUGAGAGAGGAAGCUUGCUCUCUGGACGUGGUUGUGGCUAGUGGUGGAGUAUUGGGUGUUUUUGGUAGUUUUUCAGCAGCCUGACAAAAGCUUGCCAGAAGAGAAAAUAGAAGGAGAUGGAGGAAUAGGGCACGAAAUUGCAGAGUUUCAGAGAUGAGAGAUGAAGCUUGCUCUCUAGAUGUAGGUUGAGAUAAUUGGUAGGAAAUGCUUCUUUUUAUAGGCAUUAGAAGCUACUUUUUUUCAAGAAACCCUAAUAGUUUCUAUCCAAUUUGGCCAAGCUUUUUUCCUUCAUUUCUUCUCCAUUCCUUUGACUUAUCCUAUUUGGUGAAAUUCUCUCUGCCCAAUUGCACAAAAACAGAGAUUUUGGGAGCUCAAUGCUCUUCUCACAGCUGCCUCAGUAGAGAACUCCCAUUUUCAGCCAUCUUUCUUCCUUCUUUACUCCCCUCUUCUAUGGCUAGAUCUGAUGGGGGGGAAAGAAAUGGGUAUGUACACUGGUUUGAAGGGUGUUUUGCUCAAGUAUCCCUUGGUUUUUCUGAUGGCUUGCGUUGGAUUUGUCUUUGGCCAUGUGCUGGAGAUUCCCAGCAGCCUGCAAAUGUGAGUGGCUUUUGGCUUUUAUCAUGGUUUUGUCUCCAACCAUGUACCGGAGACUUUCAAAUAUUUUGUUGGUCACUUGGGCCAUUCUUUAAGGUAAAGGCGCUAGUUCACUAAAGGGAUGGGCCAACUUCCCAAAGUGAUGGGCUAUCUUUUCUAAGGUAAUGAGCUAUUUUCUCUCCUUUAUGUUUACCCACAUAUUUGGGCUCAAGAAAUGGACUUGAGUUUCGGGAUUCCCAAGCAGCCCAAAACUUCCAUUUCUCAGCUCAUCAAUAGGCCUCAUGAAAGCUCGUAACCAUCUAUACCACAACCCAAUCAGCAAGCCCAAGGCAUUCGCGUGGCUUGGGUCCACUUAAACUUGUAGUGUGGCGUGUUGCUUAUUUGCUUGGCGUGGCACGUGUGCAAGCGUAUAUGAUGAACUCUUGCGUACCUAAAUUAGGUUUCUUCCCAAGUUAGGUGUCGUACUAGGCCGAGAAUUUAUUCGGGCCCAACAGUGGAUUUUUUGAACCUCAACACUUAGGUAGCAAAAAUCAGAGGACACAGAGAGAUAGAGAGAGGGAGACAGCCACAGACCAUCAAGUACUUUAAGUUAGGUUUGAUUCAUGAUAUUAACUGACUCUUAUAUUUGCUUUAAUAUCCAUGUGGAUGAAAUUUAAAAUGUGAUAUCAUGUGGUUAAGUAGUGGUGUAGGAUUUGUCUUUCAAUGGUUUCAACCAAUUUCGUGGAUGUUAAGAUUGAUAUAGGUUGGUUGACAAUAGGUAGAUCGUCCUUAUCGUUUCUAAUCCUAAUAUGACAAUGCCUUAUAUUAAUUUUCUAAUUUUUGGUUGAAUAUCUUAUUUGAACAAAGGCAUCUGAAAAUUUGAUCAUUUUGAUGUGUAGAGGCCAUUGUUACACUUCGCAAAGAAAAAUAAUGUAUAUCUUUUGCUGGACAAAAUUACGCUUAUAUAUAUGUGCUGGCUAGUGUGUUCCAUUUCUUUUUGUUUUGUUAUUUGGCAAAUGUUACACUUUUGUACAGGGGAACAAUACCACCCAUCUUUCCUUUUGAAGUGUUAUUUGAAGAAAAUGAUUUUGAAUGAUUUGAAAGAAUUACAUAUGCACUUUAAAAAAAAUGCAACCUUCAAAAAUACAUCCAAAUAGCUAAAUAAAGUAUUUCUUGUUUGUUUUAUGGGAAAUAUGAAACUUUGCUCCCACAGAUGAUAUUGACGGAGAAAAGAAAGAAUUUUCGUUCCUAAACCAAGAAGAGAAAUCACGUGGGUUUUUGAUCAGAAGAGGAGAUUGGAAUGAGUAGGAGGGUAUUUUAGAAAUUUUCUCCCCACUAAAAAUAUUAUCAAAAUAUUAAAUAGAAAGUUUCUUUUAAAAAAAGAAUAAAAGAUAGAGUCAAAAGUUAUUAACAGCUGGCGUCAUCUCAUUAGGCUGGGACACUGACGUGGACAGCUGACCAUAGCAUACCCAUGGCAGGGAAGUUUUUCUCCAGUGGAGGAGACUGUGCAGAAGAAGAUAGCCUUUUUUCUUAUGCUUUUCUUUCCUCUGCCCUUCUCUUUUCUAACUUGCUAUCAUGGUAUGGUUCUGAGCUUUCUCAUUCUCACGUCUUUGUUGUUGUAAUUCUAUCUGAGAAAUUUAUAAAAUUCUUCUCUGUAUUCUUUUUGGUCAGUUGGGUGAGUGCUGUUUGAUUGCCUUGUUGCUUUUUUUCUUCCCUGAUCUAGGGUUUAGGGUUUCAAACAUUUUAUUGAGCUUGAAGAGGAAGUGAUGAUGAUAAAGCAAGGACCUUUUGAUAAAGAUUACUACUUCCUGAUGUGGGCCUUUGACCAUAGAAAGAGAUCAGAUAAAGCAAGGAAAUGGGAGAAAAUAUACGCCCUUUGGCAUUUGAUGGUCCUUGUUGCUUGCUUGUAAGUUGUAAUUGUCGGUGAGCAGGCUUAGCUAAAGAGAGUAAAGGAAAGCAACAGUGAGAGAGAGAACUCUCCCUCCUCUCUUUUCCACACUUUCUCUCUCCAUCUUCUUUUCUUUAUCUCCUUUACUUUGCCACACCCAAAGCAAUACUUACUAAACUAACUAAUCCAAAAUGAUUAUUAAUUUAUUAACUGGGGUUAAUUGCUGCAGCCUUCAUCCCAAAGCAAUACUUACUAAACUAACUAAUCCACAGGCUUCUUGUGAGGCAAUCUUUUCUCUUAUUCAAUUACCCCAGUUAAUAUGAAACUGUUGAAAUCAAUAUUUAUAUAAAUACAAUUGCGAAAAAAUAUUUACGAAAUUUUGUAAGUAAUACGUAGAGCACGUGAUUUAAAAAAAAUAUCUCACAUAUGAGAAAGCGCGUACAAAAAGACUAAUAAAACAUAAACAAAAAGGAUAAUCCUCAAGGGGAGCCACUAAUUAUUGAUCAUAUACCAGACAACUCCCAUCUUUAUAUAACUUCCAUUUUCAUUUUUCUUUUAAUUUUGUAAUUUGUAAUUUGGAUUUUUGGGAGGUGGAGUGGGAUAAGAAUUAUAGGGUGCGGUUCGUGUACCUAGGAAACCGCCACGUUCUUUCUUUAGGAAAUUUGGGAUAAAGUUAAAAAAACAUAAGUUGGGAGGUAGUGAAAUUAAAAGCAAGGCCAUGUGUUUCAUGAAUCAAAAUCAGACAGUUUUGUGUCCCAGUGAUGCAGAGAUAUAUACAAAUAUCAUUUAGACUUUUGCUUUUGGGCUUUGAUCAGGAUCUGAUCCGUUAUCUCAUCACCUUUUUUUUUUCUUUUUCCUUUUUUUACUCUUCAGUUUCUGCAUGUGCGUUACACUAACAUCAUUACUAAUCUCCUUUUUAUCUAAGCUGUCUUUCUGUAAAGGUAACACUGAUAUUCCUUCCCCAUAAUUCAAAGAAAAAAGGAGUUUGAGAUGUGGAAAUAUGGAUUCCCGAAUCAAAACUUUUUGAUUUUGUUAACGAUUAUAGUGGGCCCAUCAGUACUGGGAAUUUGUCUGCUUAUUUUGAAUUGAAAGCUACCUCUUGUUGGAAAACCUUAAAAGUUGUUUCUUUCCAAGCCCACUUACACUUGCUGUGUAAACUAAUGAAGUCUACAUGAAAGCAAUCUCAUGUCCUAUUGUGUAUAUGCAUGUGCUUAAUUGGUGUAUAUUCUGUAGUACCACAACAGAAUGUUUAACAUUCAAUUGGGGCUAAUUCCAUGAUAGAGUGGUAAUUGAACAGUAUCAAUACAUCAAUAAGUGCACAGUUGGGUAUACACAAUGAUCAAAAGGAGACAAAACAUAACAGCGGUUUAAGUGUUUCAUAAGAGAGUAAAAUAGAAGAAAUUGAGAACUGUUCAUAAGCAAAUCUGCCCAUUCAUAAGCAUACGUCUAAUUAUAAAAUCAAAGAACAAGAUACUGAAUAAAAAUAAAGUGAGAAAGAGAGAUUGUUAAAUGCUCUCAGCAACCAAUCAUAUUGUAAAAUGAGAAAGAGAGAUGAUUGUCGUCAAACCUUGCUACAACGGCCGAGAUCUUUGGAUCCACUAGAAUCUCCCCUUUCAGCUUCAACCCCAGAUAUUUCUUUGUCUUUGUACCUCUCAACCUUGAAAGCCCUUGGAACAAGGUGGUUCUAUAUACCAGACAAAAGAAACCAAUUAUCAAAUUUAAUCAGAAACUCACAUUACCAACAAACAAAACCCAGCUAUCCAAAAAAAUUCAAGAAACCAAAAGACAAAGGGAAUAGAAAAAGCAAACUGACAUUUGAUUUCAAAAUCCCCAAUUUCUAGGGUUUGAACUGAUGAGAGCGAGGAGGAGAGAUGGACGAAAAGAUAGAGAGAGAGAGAGAGAGAGAGAGAGAGAGCACGCGAGCUUCAAGCUUCUCCCAUGGAAGCUAGCUUGAGUGAGAACCAGUAGCACAGAGCGAACCAGCAGAUCCAACGACAAGAGAAAAAAAAUUCAAGAAAAACGCAUUUGUUUUGUUUUGAAUAAUAAGGGUCUUUUUGCAAAUGACCCCAUUGGUGUAGUGGUUUGGAGUAUUUACUCCCUCAGACAAGGUCUUGGAUUCGAGUCCUAGCAUCCGCAUAGUGUGUGUGAGUUUAGUAUGCUAUCGCCCCUCUCAAUGAGUCCUGUUUACCUGUUACCAAAGUUCCUGUGGCCUCCUGUUUCCCUGCUAGUUUCGUGACAUGUGGCAAGCCACUUAACACCACUUAACUCUGUUAACUCUUUUUGCUUCUUUUUAUUGUUUGUUUUUUUUGCUUUUUCUCCCAGUUCUGCCCCUUGAGGGUUUAGGGUUUAGGGUUUAGAGCUGGUGUUUCGGCUCGAGUCCAUGUGUUGUUUUGGGCUGGUAAGGGAAAAAUGAGCGGAAAAGAUAAGAGAAGGUAGGGAAAAAGGGGGUGAAGGAGAAACUAAAAAAAGAAAUAAAAAAGGAGAUGAGAGAAAAAGAAAAACAAAGCAAAAGCAAAAGCAAAAAAAAAAAAGAAGAGAGAGAGAGAGAGAGAGAGAGAGAGAGAGAGAGAGAGAGAGAGAAUGUGGAGGUAGAGAUCUGGAAAAGAUAACAAAAAAAGAAGAAGAGGAGAGGAGACGACGGAGGGAGGGGGAGAGAAGAGAGAAAGGGGCAUAACAGGGAGAAAAAGAAAAAAAGAAAAAAAAAGCAAAAAGAAGCAAAAAGAGUAAACAAAGUUAAGUGGUUUUAAGUGGCUUGCCACAUGUCAUGAAAUUAGCAGGGAAACAGGGGGCACAGGAACUUUAGUAACAGGUAAAUCGGACUCCCUCUCAAUAGGAAAUAUCCACAAAACACAAAAGAAAAAAAGGUCUUUUAAAAUUUGUUUUGGAAUUGGAUUUUUAAAAAUAGACCUACCAAACGAGUUUUUGGGCUUUUGAAUUUAAAAUCAGUUUUUGAGUUUAUAAAAUUGGACUCAAAUCAAAUACCAAACAGACCCUUAAAGACUUAAUGUUUUCUUAAAAUAUUGCGUUUGUUUAUUUUAUAGAGUACAAUUAUAUGUUUUAAAUAAUUUUCAAAUUAUCUAAUAUUUUUUAAGAAUCAACUGUAAAUUAUGCCUGACGGUGAAAAUACAAUUUACCUCAAAAAUAACUAAUUAUUUGACGUUAUUUGACGUGUUGAGAAGGCUAAAUAUGGAGUCUACAGAAGUCUAGAGAGACUUGACUAGUUGACAUCCCUGUCUCCAAUUAGCCUAUAUAGGGCCAAGAGUAUGCUUACAUUACAGCAGCAACUCAAUAAUCUAGAGGCACUCUUGUUAAUUAUUCAUGGCAACUCCCAUUAUUUCUAGCUCCUCCUUCCUUAGGUUUUUCAUGGCUUUCUUCUCUGUAUUUCUAUGCCUAAGUCUCUGCUCUUUCGAGAACGGAUUUGCUUUGGCAGCAAGAGAUACAAAACCCCACCCUCUCCCACAUACCACUCACACAGUUGAAGUGAAGUCUCUUCUACCAGCAACCACCUGCAGCCCCUCCACCAAAGGUUAAUUCAUCCCAUAUUAUAUAUAUAUAUUAAUUUCAAACCCCAUUUUAUGUGCAUUUAUGUAUCUCUAACACACACACACACACUCUGUCUCUGUCUCUCUCUCUCUCUCUCUCUCUCUCUCUCUCUCUCUCUAUGCAUACAUGUUUCAAUGAUCUCAGGUCAUAACAUUAACAAGGCAUCAUCGGUACUGAAAGUGGUGCACAAACAUGGGCCAUGCUCCAAUUUCCACAAAUCAUCAAAAACUUCAACCACAACUUGUGAUGAAAAAUACCAUGCUCAAAUCCUCAAGCAAGACCAAGCCCGAGUCAACUCAAUCCACUCCCGCCUCAACCACAACAACAACAAAGACCCACUCACCCAAUCCGCCGCCACCACCCUCCCCGCCAAGUCUGGUCUCGUUAUCGGCACAGGGAACUACAUUGUCACCGUCAGCCUCGGUACACCCGCCAAGCAACUCUCCCUCGCCUUCGACACCGGCAGCGACCUCACCUGGACCCAAUGCAAGGCAUGUUCUGCUACUCAGUCUUGUUACAAACAGAGAGAGCCCAUCUUCAACCCUUUUCUCUCCGCCUCAUACAAAAAAAUCUCAUGUACCACCGCCGCGUGUACUCAGCUCUCAUCCAUCGGCGUCCAACACGG